rnacentral:rRNA from 1 species
AAUGAACGCUGGCGGCAUGCCUAACACAUGCAAGUCGAACGAAGGCUUCGGCCUUAGUGGCGCACGGGUGCGUAACGCGUGGGAAUCUGCCCUCAGGUUCGGAAUAACAGCGAGAAAUUGCUGCUAAUACCGGAUGAUAUCGCGAGAUCAAAGAUUUAUCGCCUAAGGAUGAGCCCGCGUAGGAUUAGCUAGUUGGUGUGGUAAAGGCGCACCAAGGCGACGAUCCUUAGCUGGUCUGAGAGGAUGAUCAGCCACACUGGGACUGAGACACGGCCCAGACUCCUACGGGAGGCAGCAGUGGGGAAUAUUGGACAAUGGGCGAAAGCCUGAUCCAGCAAUGCCGCGUGAGUGAUGAAGGCCUUAGGGUUGUAAAGCUCUUUUACCCGGGAUGAUAAUGACAGUACCGGGAGAAUAAGCUCCGGCUAACUCCGUGCCAGCCGCCGCGGUAAAAC